rnacentral:rRNA from 1 species
UGAGGAACAUGACCUUCGGCGGGGGAAUAAGCCGGCCCAACGGCCGGGUAAUACCGCGUACGACCUUUUGGGGACAUCCCGAGGGGUGAAGCAGCAAUGCGCCGAAAGAGUGCCUCGCGGCCUAUCAGCUAGUUGGUGGGGUAAUAGCUCACCAAGGCGAUGACGGGUAGCCGGCCUGAGAGGGUGACCGGCCACACUGGGACUGAGACACGGCCCAGACCUCCGUACGGGAGGCAG